GGAUGUGAGAGCUAUCGGUCUGGGACAUCUGUCACCACACUGAUUCCAGGGUUGAUUCAGCUGAUCUGGCUAGCUCAGCGGAUGUCCCCUUCCUCCUUCACUGCUUCAUGUGAGUCCCUCCUGAAGCUGCACACUUGGUCAAAGAGGACAGGACAUCCUCUCCAAUAGAGGAGGACCUUUUCCUCAGUCACAGUAUAUAAGAAGCGGCCCUCACCUGUUAGAACUUCCAAACAAGCUCUCAGGAAAAAUAUUUCCUAUUAUGUAUAGUAUAUAUGUCACAUAUAUGUGUGCAUAUGCAUAUAUCCACACAUAAUUGUAU
rfam:Heterocephalus glaber contig179535, whole genome shotgun sequence.